AGGAAACUUAGAUAUCUGAAAGACAACAUGAAUGUCUUAACCAUUUUAUUAAUUUGCCUUGCCCUAUAUAAGCCGCCAAGAGGAGUUUGGCACUUCCCCGAUAAUUAAAAUUGGAAUAAUUACAAAUAGGUUCCAGUAAAUGCUAAAUGUUUCAGUACUAGAGCUGACUUAUAAAGGCCAUACAUCCCAAUAAAAUUGUUUAAUUGCCAAGGAAACGACAACAUGAAUGUCUCAACCAUCAUAUUAAUUUGCCUUGCAAAAUUCUUUAAUUGUCAAGGAAACUUAGAUAUCUGAACGAUAACAUGAAUUUCUUAACCAUCUUACUCAUUGUUAUCGCCCUAUAUGACCCGCCAAAAGGUACGUGGCAGAAAGUAGUUUCGGCUAAUAAUGUUCUUGGCUCUUCUGUAAAAUAGGACUCAGUAAGGCUUAAUAUUAAGUUUGAUAUUGAA